CGGCGGACGGGUGAGUAACACGUGGAUAACCUACCUAUAAGACUGGGAUAACUUCGGGAAACCGGAGCUAAUACCGGAUAAUAUAUUGAACCGCAUGGUUCAAUAGUGAAAGACGGUUUUGCUGUCACUUAUAGAUGGAUCCGCGCCGCAUUAGCUAGUUGGUAAGGUAACGGCUUACCAAGGCAACGAUGCGUAGCCGACCUGAGAGGGUGAUAGGCCACACUGGAACUGAGACACGGUCCAGACUCCUACGGGAGGCAGCAGCC
rnacentral:rRNA from 1 species